AAAAAAAUAAACCCUAGAUAUUCGUGUCCAACGUUUGACUGUCCGUCUUAUAUGAAAAAUUUUUAUAAUUAGUAUUUUCAUUGUUGUUAUAUGAUAAAAUAUGAUUAAUACUUUAUGCGUGACUUGUCUUUUUAAUUUUUUUCAUAAUUUUUCCAAAUAAUAUGAUCAAACAUUGGACAUGAAAACUCAGGGUUUGUCUUUUU
rfam:Oryza barthii chromosome 3, whole genome shotgun sequence.